UACGUAGGGUGCGAGCGUUGUCCGGAAUUACUGGGCGUAAAGAGCUCGUAGGUGGUUUGUCGCGUUGUUCGUGAAAACUCACAACUCAAUUGUGGGCGUGCGGGCGAUACGGGCAGACUGGAGUACUGCAGGGGGAGACUGGAAUUCCUGGUGUAGCGGUGGAAUGCGCAGAUAUCAGGAGGAACACCGGUGGCGAAGGCGGGUCUCUGGGCAACAACUGACGCUGAGGAGCGAAAGCGUGGGGAGCGAACAGG
rnacentral:rRNA from 1 species